rnacentral:rRNA from 1 species
GACGAACGCUGGCGGCGUGCCUAAUACAUGCAAGUCGAACGCAGUGGGGACGGUUGAUUAACACGUGGGUAACCUCCCAUCAGAGGGGAUAACACUUGGAAACAGGUGCUAAACCGAUAUUGAUUUAUGGACCUGCGGUGCAUUAGCUAGUUGGGGGGGUAACGGCUCACCAAGGCCACGAUGCAUAGCCGACCUGAGAGGGUGAGCGGCCACACUGGGACUGAGACACGGCCCAGACUCCUACGGGAGGCAGCAGUAGGGAAUAUUCGGCAAUGGGCGAAAGUCUGACCGAGCCAUGCCGCGUGAGUGAAGAAGGUUUUCGGAUCGUAAAGCUCUGUGGGUAGAGAGGCGGUAUCUAACCAGAAAGCCACGGCUAACUACGUGCCAGCAGCCGCGGUAAUUC